UUAUCCAUUCGGACUCAAUGACUCAUUCAUCUCUCUCUCUCUCUCUCGCGCUCCCCAAAGGCGUCCAGUACGCCCAGUCUCCCUACGCCGUAGUUUCUGCCCUUCUUCGCCGGAGCGGGAGCUUCGAAUCGGCUCUGUAGAGAUGGAGAGAUCUGGUAGAGGCGGCGCCGAUAUCCGGGACUUGCUUCGGAGUUCCUCAGGACGGAGACAUCAUAAACAUAGAUGUUACUGUCUACCUAAAUGGAUAUCAUGGAGACACAUCAAAGACAUUUCUUUGUGGGGAGGUCAGUGAUAGUGUGCAACGCCUAGUGAAGGUGUUCUGUAACAGGCGUUAAGCCUGCAUCUGGGGAUUCUCCUUUACAGGUAGCAUGGGAUGUGACCCAGAUCUGCUUCAAAAUGUGAGAUGUGUCAGUCCAUGUUUGGUCGAAUUGGUAUCGAGCAUACCAACUAUUGAUCUAUCUCCCUACUCGCCUCCAAGAAAGAAGCUGCGGCUUCAACAAAACCAAGACUAUUCUCUUAUUGGUCAACUGCCAAUGCCGUCUGUUUACGGCUCUUUUUUUUUUUUAGGUUACCUUGCUAGCACCCAAUAGCUUGUAUACUUAUUCAAAUUUGUAAACACAUCUUCAAUUUACUUUGGCUCGGAUCACUGAAAUUAACAACCAAGGCUGGUAUGGAUCUCUAAUGAUGGUAUAACAGUGACAUGCAAUG